CAGCAGCCGCGGGAAUACGAAGGGGGCUAGCGUUGCUCGGAAUGACUGGGCGUAAAGGGCGCGUAGGCGGAUUGUUUAGUUAGGCGUGAAAUUCCUGGGCUUAACCUGGGGACUGCGCUUAAUACAGGCAGUCUAGAGUGAGGAAGAGGGUUGUGGAAUUCCCAGUGUAGAGGUGAAAUUCGUAGAUAUUGGGAAGAACACCGGUGGCGAAGGCGGCAACCUGGUCCUUGACUGACGCUGAGGCGCGAAAGCGUGGGGAGCAAACAGGAUUAGAUACCCCUGUAGUCCCUGUCUCUUAUAC
rnacentral:rRNA from 1 species